CAGCCAGCCCUGCGAUCUCACAACAGCCAGAUGUGUUUGAGCCUCCCAAGCUACUAAUUCUCAACAGCAGAAGGGAAACACUCCAUUCUGCCAUUCAGCUGGGCCAAAACUGACAGCAAAGCCAACUCGCAUUCCUGGCAGUAUUAAUCGCUGUAAAUACAGGCCUGUUUUCCAUUGCUAGAAGUCUGGUGCUGUCUAAACACACACAAACUUGUGUUUCUCUCUACACACAGAGACAAGUCCUUCACUUUGUCAAACAAGUCUCUUAGCGCAGAAGCCUUUCCAAGGAUUUGAAAAGGAACUGGCACAGAUUGCAUCCGAAGGAAAGACAUUCCCUUUGCUGGUGAGGAGUGCGAGUCCUUCUAGAAAGCAGGGCUAUUACUAAAAUUUAUUCCGCAGCCUGCAGUGGAUCUCUUGGCACUACAGAAUAUGUGGAAGUACAAGAGGCAACCUCAUUACAAGAUGCUUCCUUCCAGCCUACCUACCAAGGUAUAAAUUAGGAGUGGUUCAAAUCUCAGAGGUAAAGGCCAAGAAGCAAUCUUCUCUGCUGGAAGAGUUGCAACCCAACGGCCAAGUGUUUUACCCUCCUAGCUAGACCCUGACCCCUUCCUCAUCUCGAAGAGAGUAAGUGAACACCCUAGCCCAGGAAAAAGUCACCUGCGGAUUCUCUCUCUCUCCGGGCUCAACUGCCUUUUAUUAAUUGUUAUUCUGUUCAUCGCCAGUAGACAUGGCACUUCCCAGAGAAAAGAUAAAGAGGUCUGAGCUCCACAGAGCAAACCCUUUAAACAUGGGCAAGAAAGGGGGACUGAGAGAGGGAAGGGAGGAAGGAAGGAAGGAGGGAGGGAAGGAAGGAAGGAAGGAAGGAAGGAAGGAAGGAAGGAAGGAAGGAAGGAAGGAUCUCUUCCCAAGCAUCCAAGAAUGCUAAGAGUCUACACAGAUUUUCACUAAGGGAUGCUGGCUGGGUCUGCCUGCCAACUAUCCAUCCAUCCAUCCAUCCAUCCAUCCAUCCAUCCAUCCAUCCUUUCUUUUCCCAAGAGGCCUGAGGUUGAGCACAACAAUCAAAAGCAUAAAAUCAUCAAGUUAUUUAAAAAACAAAAAACUGAACAAUAAAGAGGCCACAGAGAGAGAGAUUAAAACAACUCGUAUCUGUAGAAAGGUCAAUUGGUUAGAACAUGGUGCUGAUAAUGCCAAGGUUGCAGGUUCAAUUCCUAUAUAGGACAGCUGUGCAUUCCUGCACUGCAGGGGGUUGGACUAGAUGACCCUCAGAACCCCUUCCAACUCUAUAAUUCUGUGAAAUCACUUUGCAGCAGUACAACUGCCCACAAAUACCUGCUAGUUCUGGGUCAUUGGAUUUCCACCUCAAAAGAAUUACCAUAUUUUUUGCUCUAUAAGACCCACUUUUCCCCUCCUAAAAAGUAAGGGGAAAUGUGUGUGCGUCUUAUGGAGCGAAUGCAGGCUGCGCAUCUAUCCCAGAAGCCAGAACAGCAAGAGGGAUUGCUGCUUUCACUGUGCAGUGAUCCCUCUUGCUGUUCUGGCUUUUGAGAUUCAGAAUUUUUUUUUUCUUGUUUUCCUCCUCCAAAAACUAGGUGCGUCUUGUGGUCUGGUGCGUCUUAUAGAGUGAAAAAUACGGUAACUUGUGCCUCCCCUUCUAAAGCCAUUAUCUUCGGGGCCAUUGCCACACUUUGUGGCAGCAACAGUUCUCCUCAAUGUGAACCAUAGAUCUGGAGGUGAGGUAGCACAAUUAUGUUUUUUCAAGUGUCUGUUGAUGGAGGAAACUAUUUAAUGCCUAUAUUCUACCCAGAGCAUGGAAGGUGUUAUCAAGAAACAUUGCCCUGAUGAGGUAACUCGCAAGGUUGGAGCAGAACAUGCAGGGAGGAAUCCACACCCCAUGAGAAGGAGAACUUCUAAGUUUUCCAUUCCCCACCUAAAGACAUCUAAGUCCAGAACCAGAUGAUCAAUGUUUGCUGAUCAGAUGCCUGGCUCUUUCUCUCUCUCUCUUCCACGGGGGUUGGGAAAGUCGACCAAUUCAGGCAUUUUGUUUAUCACCAUUUGUCCUUUGAAAAGGCAAAUCAUAGGGCUUAAAACAUUAAUCCGGAAUGAUUAAUUGAUUGUCUCAUUAAUACAGAUUAAGCUGGGGAUUCUUAAAUAGCCGUUUAAUUGGUGCUCAUCUUUUGUCAAAGAGGGUCCUGUUCUGAUGGCAUUGUUGAGCGCAAUCUUUUGAUUCCAACAGUAGGGCGCUUAGGAUGGCUCGAGAAACAAGGAAUGGCUUCUUUUGUUGUUUUGCUCAGGGGAAAACUACAAUCUCCCUUAGCUUCUGAUUUCAAAUGUGAUACCUUCUCACUUUAGUGACGUGUUUUUGUACAAUGCUUUUGGAAACUUAUGGGUGGCAUUCACCUGAUGGGCCCUGUCAGUAAGAGCCCCUGCACAUGGACUUUGGCUUACAAAAUGAGGCAUCCCCACCAUCCCGCUGAAUUGUCUUGGAGGGGUAUCAAGGGAACCCCCAAAACAGCGCUGGUUGGGAGAAGGGAUUGGUUCAUUUGGCAAGCUGAAAAGCCUGUAGAAAGGAAAUGAACAUCUGUAGCAGCUCAGUGUUGAAUCUCAACCUUAACAUGGAGAGGCUUGCUUUGCAAACAAUGGAGGAGAGCAGUUUCCAAAAGAGAAGCGGGUGUUCUGGUCCGUGCAUAGCUUCAGGAAUUGCAGAUGAGGGAGAUCUAUAUAAAAGCCAGGGCCCAACCCUACCUCACACUGAUGGAGUAAGCCAAUCUGAUGUUUUGAUGUGCUGUAAACUGCUUUGAGAUGUUUUGCUUAAAAACAUAUAAAGCAACCUAGAAAGGAAAUGAACAACAGCAGCAACAGUAAUAGUAACAACAACACCACUCUAUCAUCCUCAGCGCCUUUGGAGCAAGACAGAUGCCUGGUCUGACCCUCUCUCCAAGGGUGAACUGACAUAAACUAUCUGUCUACCAGCAUUAAAAGUAAGUAGUUUCACAGAAGAGAGCCUUUGUGGGGCAGAAGCUGGAGGUAGUGUUGAGAGCAGGCACAGCACCCCCCCCCCCACACACACAUCAAUGGAGAAAUGAAUGUUGAGUUGCUUACAGGUCAUCAAAGGUAAAAACAGGCUUGAGAAUAGCUCUGGCUUUAGAGAGCAAAAGGAACAGCAACGCAAAAGAGGCACAUGAAUUUUUAAAGCUAUUUUCUAAUUUUAACAAGCUGUUGCCAUGAACUAGGAACCCAGUUCUGGACAGAGAGUCGAACUGCCACUGCGUGUAUAAAUAGUUUGGCUGGCAUUGCUCUUGCGUUGAGGGGGGGGGGGAAGAAACACACCAAAAAAAAAGUCCUUAGGGAGCCUAAACGCAAAUCUGCAAACUUGAAAGAAGCUCAGGUCAGGACACCAAAAGCUGCGUGCAAACUCCACAUGCAGGCUCACAGAGCUGUUUUUCAGCACUGAAGUCUGUUUGCCCUCUUCGGGUGGGUGGCUUUGCGGACAGGCUGAAUGUAGGUGGCGUUCCCCUGGAUGGAGUGCCAACUGACCAGUAGCAACACUUGGCACCGCACCCAGGGGAAAGUUAAAUACUCAGCCUGCAGGGCCUUUUGGCCUCUUGCUCUCCAUGCCGGUUGCCCUGCUCUCCACCAAACUGCAAGAGGAUUUUCAGGUGGGGAACCAGCCUUUGAGAGUGGAGGCUGACAUCCACGGGGAUACCAAAUUUCCAGCUUCAAAAAGUCAAAGUGGCACAGAACACCAUGUUUGGAAUGACAUAUGGCCAGGAGCUGCCUGAGAAUCACUUACACAGCCCUGACCCCAAAUCCCUCCCUUGUCAUGCUCUGAUAUAGAGGUAUCAGCAAGGACUCUGAUCAUGGAUGCUUCAUUUGGCACUGCGAAGGCUUUCCAUCUUCCUUAUCCCAGCUUUCACCCUUGACGCAGAAUGGAUGCCUCAUGGAGGUAUCUGAAAGGGGAUUAGCCAUCUCUGCCACUGCCUCCCCAUCCCCACGCUUUCUCUUUGCAAAGCUGUCUGACCUUGGGGAGGUGAUCGAAGGAUGCCCAUUUCCGCCAGGAAGGUGCUCAAAUGAAUCACGCGCUUGCACUUCAGCACAACAAAGUCACAACCCGUCCUUGGGGCUGAUUAAGGCAAUUUAGUUUCGUGAGGCAAGAGCUGCUCAUGGACGAGCUCACACCAGAAAAAGGGGCUUUUGGUCGGCUCGCCCAAAUCUCCAUCAAUUCUCCAGGCAGAGGAGAGAUUCACUGAGGAGCUGAUUAUUCCCACCAAGGAAAAGAUCCAUGGAACAGAGUCAUGAGAAGGAGUGAGGAAAGAGCUAGAGGCCCCUUCAAACGGCCAUUUUCAACUGAAGCCAAAGCAAUGACACUACAGCCAUAAUGUACAGUGGUACCUUGGGUUAAGAACUUAAUUCAUUAUGGAGGUCCGUUCUUAAUGUGAAACUGUUCUUAACCUGAGGUACCAGUUUAGCUAAUGGGGCCUGCCGCUUCCGCCGCGCCAUCGCUGCACGAUUUCUGUUCUCAUGCUGAAGCAAAGUUCUUAACCCAAUGUACUAUUUCUGGGUUAGCGGAGUCUGUAACCUGAAGUGUCUGUAACCUGAGGUACCACUGUACCUCAGUUUAAGAACAGCCCUAUUUAAGAACUAUUCGGUUUACGGACUCCGCAAAACCGGAAGUAGUGUCCUGGUUUAUGAACUUUACCUCGGUCUAAGAACAGAAUCCGAAUGGUGGAAGGGCACUAGCAGCCUCAUUAGGGAAAGCAUGCCUCAGUUUAAGAACGGUUUCAGUUUAAGAACAGACUUCCAGAACAGAUUAAGUUCAUAAACCGAGGUACCACUGUAUUUAUUUUACUUUACUUAUUUCCUUUAUAUCCCGCCUUUUUCUCCAAGGAACUCAUCACGCUUGUCAAGCACUGUGAAGGAAGUUGCAUGCAUGCCUUUAUCAAUCUUAACAACAACGCUGCCAGGAAAUGAUCCUCAUUUUGCAAUUGUGAGAGGAGGGCUGCAGCUGGCUAAGCAGCGGCUUCCUUAAGGCCAGCUGGACUCUGAUGUCAAUAAAACAAACUAAAUUAAAAAACCCUGCCUGUGGAAAACCAGGUGUCAGAGAGAAGAAGGCUACUCUAACAUUCUCCCAGGUUUUGAUAGCUGGAUAUCUCAUUUGGUUAGAGUGUGGUACCAAUAAUGCCAAGGUUGCAGGAUUGAUCCCUCAUAUCGGGCAGCUGCAUAUUCCUGCCUAGAUGGGAUCCUCAGGGUCCCAUCUAACUCUAUGAUUCUAUGAUAUCCUAGCUUUCUGUGCUGAGAUAAUAUAUGUUUGCAGCAGAACAUUCAGUCUUGUGAGCCUUCCGUCUUCAAAGUGGUACAGUCCCGGACAGCUUUCCUACCUCAUCCUGGCUAUACCCAGUUAGUUGGUAGAGUCUGAUACUGACCAGCUCAGCAGCCCCUCUCCCUGAUGCAGACAGGGGACACCCAAGGGCCAAGAGUUCCUUCAUGCUGGGAGGAGUGCAGGCUGUAGCCUCUGUACCUUGGACCAGUGGUUGAGCUCUGUCCUCCUCACCCCCACUCACUCCAUCAGGAGGCAGAUCCCCAGCCCCACAGCAGUGACCAGAGGAGAACCAGGCACAAAGCAGGAUUUAAACCCUGCCGUGCUGCUAGUGACAUAAACUGGCAUGCAACAGAAUCUGCAAGGGUGUGUAACUGGAAUAACUGAGCUGGUUUCUGGAUUUUCCGAGCCCAACAGUGAGUUGAGCUGCCUGCCCCUUCUUGCCACCCUUCAACCACCUCACACUCCCUUAAAUUGUGACUUCUGCUUGGCUACACAUUCCUGGCUCUUUCACAACCCCAGAGCUCCUUUUGACAACAUCUCAAGCCUCAGAAUGCCCAAGGGUUUCUGCUUGCCCCCCCCCCCCGCAACUCCCAGGUCAGAAAGAAAUAGCUGAUCAGAGCAAAAUGCUCCAGGUUCAAUGGCCUCCCUUCUCAAUUUUCUUUCUUAAAUAAGCUUUUCCAGUAGCUGGGCUGGGGAAGGCCUUUGCUGGGCACAUGCCUGCUGAUCUAGACAGUGCCUAGGCAGACCAAAGGCCUGAUUGCUGAGGUACGAAGUCUGGUCUCUGGUCUCCCAAGGUUCCUCAGAAGAGAAGGCCAAGACUCAACUCAACAGAUAAUUAAUUGGCUUAGGAUUUUAUAUAAGUUAGGUGAUGAAUUAAUAUGUUUAAUUUCAAAAUGAAAAGAUUUAAGGAUGUUAAUGUUCAAGUUAAAUUUUAUAAGAACUGUGAUUUGGAAAACCGUUAAAAGGAUAUGCAUUGAAAUUCAACCAAGGGGAAGCAAGGAAGUCACUUAACAAUGUUAAUAAGUGCAAUUUUUAAUAAGGUUAUGAUUUAUGUUUGUUUGUUUGUUUAUAAUUUUGUGAAAAUUAAUAUAUUUUUUUUGGAAAAAACCCAAAAAACUCAACUCAGUUCACUCAGGGAGGCAGUGAGAAGAAAAUGGACCCUGGAUUUCAGAGCUUUGGAAAAAGUCUUCUGUUCUUAUGUCAGCCAAAAACGGAAAUGCUAUCACUCUUAAACGCUGACACGUUUAUUUCUCCAUUGAUUAUAGCAGAGCUGGAAAUGAACAUUCUGUCUGGCCUGAUUGCCCUUUGGACUACUCUGGAAGAUGAAAGGAGAGCAAAUAAGGAGGAAGGGGCAAAGAGCGCUGUCCUCUCCCCAACCCAUUUUGCAGCCCUAUGCUGGAUCUUCUCCCUGUCAUCCGCCAGUUUCCUCUGAUUGACACAGAAUUUCACACAACCGUUAGAAGCCAGUAGAUCCCACUGAUGGUCAAGGGACAGAAGGGUGGGACCAUGAAGCCC
rnacentral:lncRNA from 1 species